rnacentral:misc_RNA from 1 species
GGAGUAAAAGUCGUAACAAGGUUUCCGUAGGUGAACCUGCGGAAGGAUCAUUAUUGGAUUUUGAAACUUCAGGCUGCUGCUGGCUCUCCUCGGAGGGCAUGUGCACGCUUGUUGUCCAUUAUUUCUCCCACUGUGCACAAAUUGUAGACCUUUCAGUAGGCCUAUGUUGUUUUUCACAAUCUCUGAAUGUAAUAGAAUGGUUUUGAAUCUUGGGAAAUACAAUACAACUUUCAGCAACGGAUCUCUUGGCUCUC